CCACGGUGCCCUGAUUCGACCCCAG
rnacentral:rRNA from 1 species